UACGUAGGUGGCAAGCGUUAUCCGGAAUUAUUGGGCGUAAAGCGCGCGCAGGUGGUUUCUUAAGUCUGAUGUGAAAGCCCACGGCUCAACCGUGGAGGGUCAUUGGAAACUGGGAGACUUGAGUGCAGAAGAGGAAAGUGGAAUUCCAUGUGUAGCGGUGAAAUGCGUAGAGAUCAGGAGGAACACCGAUGGCGAAGGCAGCACUCUGGCCGAAGACUGACGCUGAAGCGCGAAAGCUGGGGGAGCGAACGGG
rnacentral:rRNA from 1 species